GACGAACGCUGGCGGCGUGCUUAACACAUGCAAGUCGAACGGAAAGGCCCUGCUUGCAGGGUACUCGAGUGGCGAACGGGUGAGGAACACGAGGGUGAUCUGCCCUGCACUUCGGGAUAAGCCUGGGAAACUGGGUCUAAUACCGGAGCGGAUCCAGUUUCAGUGUGAUGGUUGGAAAGAUUUUUCGGUGUAGGAUGAGCUGGCGGCCUAUCAGCUUGUUGGUGGGGUAAUGGCCUACCAAGGCGGCGACGGGUAGCCGGCUAGAGAGGGUGGACGACCACAUUGGGUCGGGGAUACGGCCCGGACUCCUACGGGAGGCAGCAGUAGGGAAUAUUUCACGAUGUGCGCAAGCCUGAUGCAGCUACGCCGCGUGGGGGAUGACGGCCCUCGCGUUGUGAACUCCUUUCGCUAGGGCCGAAGCUUUUUGUGACGGUACCUAGAUAAGAAGCACCGGCUAACUACGUG
rnacentral:rRNA from 1 species